AUACAAAGAGAAUACUUUGCCUUGUAGCGAUAGUGAUACUGACCCUGUGUACGCCGUGGUAGUUCCAUUUGAACACCUAUAAAACACAGAAAAAUAUAAUGUACGUAAAUGUGCUACCGCUAGUACUAUGUGCGGCCUACAUAAGUAGAAUUACAAAAGAAAACACAAAAAUGUUUCUUCAUCGUACUGCUGUAGAUAAGGCUAUCAACAUUCAAAUAGGAAGAAAAGAAAUCCAUGUCAAAGAAAAGAAAUACCCCAACCCUCGCCCAA
rnacentral:lncRNA from 1 species